rnacentral:piRNA from 1 species
UGGUGGAAUUUUUGGAGUCACUUAUA